UGCAGUCGAACGCUAUCUUUGAUAGAGUGGCGCACGGGUGAGUAACACGUGGGAAUCUGCCCUUUUGUUCGGGACAACAGUUGGAAACGGCUGCUAAUACCGGAUACGCCCUUCGGGGGAAAGGUCCGCCGCAGAAGGAGGAGCCCGCGUCCGAUUAGCUUGUUGGUAGGGUAAUGGCCUACCAAGGCGACGAUUGGUAGCUGGUCUGAGAGGAUGAUCAGCCACACUGGGACUGAGACACGGCCCAGACUCCUACGGGAGGCAGCAGUGGGGAAUAUUGGACAAUGGGGGCAACCCUGAUCCAGCAAUGCCGCGUGUGUGAUGAAGGCCUUAGGGUUGUAAAGCACUUUCACUGGUGAAGAUGAUGACGGUAACCAGAGAAGAAGCCCCGGCUAACUUCGUGCCAGCAGCCGCGGUAAUACGAAGGGGGCGAGCGUUGUUCGGAAUUACUGGGCGUAAAGGGAGCGCAGGCGGUUCAUUUAGUUAGGCGUGAAAGCCCCGGGCUCAACCUGGGAACUGCGCUUAAUACUGAUGAACUAGAAAACAGAAGAGGGUAGUGGAAUUCCCAGUGUAGAGGUGAAAUUCGUAGAUAUU
rnacentral:rRNA from 1 species